UACAGAGGUCCCAAGCGUUGUUCGGAUUCACUGGGCGUAAAGGGUGCGUAGGUGGUGAGGUAAGUCGGAUGUGAAAGCUCGGAGCUCAACUCCGAAAUGGCAUUGGAAACUACCUUGCUCGAGGGUUGGAGGGGGGACUGGAAUGCUUGGUGUAGCAGUGAAAUGCGUAGAUAUCAAGCGGAACACCAGUGGCGAAGGCGAGUCCCUGGACAACACCUGACACUGAGGCACGAAAGCUAGGGGAGCAAACAGG
rnacentral:rRNA from 1 species